rnacentral:lncRNA from 1 species
AUGCAUCAUCUGAUUUGGUUGUUAUGGCAGUCCUGUAAGGUCCGGGUGGCUGUGGGUUGUCUCACCAUUUUCGAUGCAGAGUCUCUGAAACCACGCAUCAAGCAUCAGAGCAAAGAAGAGAAUCUACACUUUCCAGUUCCUGGUUCCGCCCUCUCUGAAGCACUUCAAGGGAGGUGUUCUGACAGGCUAGAGGUGUCACCCUGUGAGAUCUGCCUCAGAGGCUGCUUUGGAUGACCUGUUACAUGCAGUGAGUGA